CCUACGGGAGGCUGCAGUGAGGAAUAUUGGUCAAUGGACGAGAGUCUGAACCAGCUAAGUAGCGUGAAGGAUGACUGCCCUAUGGGUUGUAAACUUCUUUUAUAUGGGAAUAAAAUGUUCCACGUGUGGGAUUUUGUAUGUACCAUAUGAAUAAGGAUCGGCUAACUCCGUGCCAGCAGCCGCGGUAAUACGGAGGAUCCGAGCGUUAUCCGGAUUUAUUGGGUUUAAAGGGAGCGUAGGUGGAUUGUUAAGUCAGUUGUGAAAGUUUGCGGCUCAACCGUAAAAUUGCAGUUGAAACUGGCAGUCUUGAGUACAGUAGAGGUGGGCGGAAUUCGUGGUGUAGCGGUGAAAUGCUUAGAUAUCACGAAGAACUCCGAUUGCGAAGGCAGUUCACUGGACUGCAACUGACACUGAGGCUCGAAAGUGUGGGUAUCAAACAGGAUUAGAUACCCGAGUAGUC
rnacentral:rRNA from 1 species